rnacentral:tRNA from 2 species
UACGUAGCUCAGUGGUAGAGCACUUCCUUGGUAAGGAAGAGGUCGCCGGUUCAAUCCCGGCCGUA